rnacentral:rRNA from 1 species
UACGGAGGGUGCAAGCGUUGUCCGGAUUUAUUGGGUUUAAAGGGUGCGUAGGUGGUUUUCUAAGUCUGGUUUGAAGCUGGUGGCUUAACCAUCAGAUGUGGCUGGAAACUGGAGGACUUGAAUGCGUUGGCGGUAGCCGGAACGGGUCAUGGUAGCGGUGAAAUGCAUAGAUAUGACCCAGAACACCGAUUGCGAAGGCAGGCUACUACGACGUGAUUGACACUGAGGCACGAGAGCAUGGGUAGCGAACAGG